rnacentral:tRNA from 1 species
GGAAAGAUGGCUGAGUGGUUGAAAGCGCAGCAUUGGAAAUGCUGUUUAGAGGUAUCUAACGAGGGUUCGAAUCCCUCUCUUUCCA